GCGACCCCAGGAUGGGCGAGGCCACCCGCUGAGUA
rnacentral:rRNA from 1 species